rnacentral:rRNA from 1 species
GACGAACGCUGGCGGCGUGCUUAACACAUGCAAGUCGAACGGAAAGGCCCUGCUUUUGUGGGGUGCUCGAGUGGCGACCGGGUGAGUAACACGUGAGUAACCUGCCCUUGACUUUGGGAUAACUUCAGGAAGCUGGGGCUAAUACCGGAUAGGAGCUCCUGCUGCAUGGUGGGGGUUGGAAAGUUUCGGCGGUUGGGGAUGGACUCGCGGCUUAUCAGCUUGUUGGUGGGGUAGUGGCUUACCAAGGCUUUGCCGGGUAGCCGGCCUGAGAGGGUGACCGGCCACAUUGGGACUGAGAUACGGCCCAGACUACUACGGGAGGCAGCAGUGGGGAAUAUUGCACAAUGGGCGGAAGCCUGAUGCAGCAACGCCGCGUGGGGGAUGACGGCCUUCGGGUUGUAAACCGCUUUCGCCUGUGACGAAGCGUGAGUGACGGUAAUGGGUAAAGAAGCACCGGCUAACUACGUG